rnacentral:rRNA from 2 species
GCUUAUGCGUUGUUGGGUAGGGGAGCGUUCUGUAAGCCUGCGAAGGUGGCCUGUGAGGGUUGCUGGAGGUAUCAGAAGUGCGAAUGCUGACAUAAGUAACGAUAAAGCGGGUGAAAAGCCCGCUCGCCGGAAGACCAAGGGUUCCUGUCCAACGUUAAUCGGGGCAGGGUGAGUCGACCCCUAAGGCGAGGCCGAAAGGCGUAGUCGAUGGGAAACGGGUUAAUAUUCCCGUACUUGGUGUUACUGCGAAGGGGGGACGGAGAAGGCUAUGUUGGCCGGGCGACGGUU